UGACAGAUGGGAAGAUAUUUCCACUUAAACAAAACAUAAACCACGUGAACAACACCCUUCAAGUGUUGGUAGUGGGUCUUGAACUCUACAAAGAUAGAUGGAGGGAGUAUGAAUGUGAAAACCUAGUGCAACAUUUGAGUAAUUGUUAAUUUUAACUUUUAAGGGCGGAAGAUUCUGUUAAGAAAACGGAGGGAAUAGGUUUUAUUGGAACAAUUAGAAGUACAGUACUUUUAUUAUCAUCAAUAUGAUCAUUUACAUAAGUUUGAAAACACAUUGAUGGAGCUGUCUCGUCGCCGACGAACAUCGCCAGCCAAUUUUGGGCGAUGCAAUGCAGCUUCCGACAAUCUUCGAACAUUGGUUCAAGUUGUGGAUUGAAUGCUUGUAUUUGGUCCAGUGAAACGACAUUUUACGAUUUUGAGUAUUGCCAUUGUGAUUAAUUGGUUAUUGGAUUAAUCUGAUAUUGUUUGUGUAAUCAUCAUUACGGUCGGUUUAUGGAGUUCUUGAUCGAGUUUUAUUGAUGAUGGAGAUAUUCAUAUAUGUUUAUACAGAACCGAGGAUUAUUGGCCGUUGUGUGUAGUUGCUUGAAUGCCAAUAUGCCAUUGGAUUUUAACUACAAUGUGGCUGUACUGGGUUUAGUUUCCUUGAUUAAUUUGUUGGCAUGAUAAGCAGAAUUAUGUCGUGGUUAAGAAUUGACAGGUUGAGGUGCUUAACUAUCAGAAAGUAUUGCUCUGGGUGAAUGCAGGGGCUAAAGGGGAUAUAUGAAGUAGAGUAGCAACUGGUGGUUAGACUGUUGUGAUUUUCUCUUUUUGGGUUACUUAAUUUCCUCCUUAAAGUGAGAUCUUUGUGAUGGAGAAAAUACUCAAAUCCUAAAAUCAAUUCUCAGAAUUUUUAAAUUUAAAUGAAGGAUUUUCUUUCCACUGCUGUUUGGAUUGAACGAAGUUCUGCUGCAGCUAUCCCAUUUCAAGAUUCUCGUUUUAAAAUCCUUUCAGUAUUGUUGUUUUAUAGACGUUUUGUUAAGGUGGACAGUUGUGAUGAGUUCCCUGGACAUGUUGUUUAUUGCCAAGCUCUUCAGAUGAACGGAUGGAAUAUGUUAUUUGCCUGCUAGUUCAUCCUAUGCCUUUGAGGACCUAAGAUUAUAUCUCAUUAUUCAAACAUGCUCUAUCAACAAAUCUACUGGAAGUAGUAACUCUAUUGUAGUGCUAGACUGCUAUUUCUCUGAGAGGAUGCGUUGACAUCAGUACAGUGCUUAUAAGAUGACCAGCAGCCACGCCUUUUGUUGGUAUUGGGAGUCUUUAAAGUUUCGAUUUCAAAUGGAUGGUAGCAACUUUGUUUAAGGCUAUUGAUCUGGCUUGGUGAAUUUGGGCUGUCAAUAGCUGCCUUUAUUGGUGGCUACCUGAUAAAUUGUUGAAAUUUUCAUGUUGAGAAGCAAUGGUAUCCUGCAGGUGCUUGAUCUUGUUUGAGUUUAAAACUGAAUAAGCGACAAGGGUAUAUACCAGUGCUUGUAAUUUUGAGAAAUUUUAGCAUCAAUGACGAGGAGAAUUGACCUUGCAAUCCUCUCAUGAUUGUUAUGCUUACCAGCGUCAUCGGUGCAGGUAAUCUCAGUCCCAUGGAGAAUUAUUCUAGUUCUCAGCUCUCUACUGUAUUGACUUUAAUGUCAGAAUUUAUAAUUAUACUUUCGUAUUUUUCCUGUUCUUGGCGUGGUUCAAAUUUUGUUAGGAAAUAACUCUUGUUGUGAAAAUUGCAGUAUUUAUUGCAAACUUGUUAACACCUUUUCUAUCUUAACCCUUACAACAAUUUCUGUGCAGUACUCAUCAGACAGAAACUUCGUCAUCUAUUUAUAGUUUUGCCUGUUUAUAAUGAAAAUAGCUAAACUCUCAUGCUAGGUAGUGCUUAGUAGCCUAUUUUGUUUUCUCUGACUUGUUAUUAUUAAUGUCUUAGCUCACACUCUUCACAGACAGACCACAUUUUUUGACAGGAUUUUCUGAUAAUAGGAAUCUUUUUGUUACUGAACAAUCGUCGUCUGUUAUGUUUUUAUGCUGCUUCAUGCAGUGUUAUUGUGAUGAAGAAAGAACCUAUUUAGACUUUGAUUACACUAAUUAAAAUGCUUAAUUAAAUCUUUAACUUUGUCAGAAUUUUCUUCCUGUGUUGGAAUUCUUUCUUUUUUCUAAAUGAUCAAAUUUGAUAUCACUGGUGUUAGUCAAAAUUACAGUAGGACUGUGAUUAGACAAAUUUGGUGCAAAAUAGUGUGCCAUUUGAAAUUUUCGUACAUUUUGUUACUACAUAGAAACAUUUCAAACUAUGGCGAGUUGGUGAAUGUUUUAUGCGUUGACGUGUCCCCUCUGGGAAUGUGAAUGGAUUAACAAACGACUAUUAGUUUUGGACAAUGGAAAUUAAGUGUAUUUUAGAGAUAUAAGUAUGAGACUCUGUAAUCUGACAUCCUACAAUAUGAUGGUUGGUUUCUACUAAAUUUUGCCUCCAAGCUGUCUAGCAAUCUAGACUGCAAUUCCUUGACCCAAAAACUUGUUCAUAUGAUUGCAUGUUACCUAUAUUCGAAUCUCCCAUGCUGAUGGUCAGUGGAUGCUCAUGCUUGUUCACACGAGCUUUGGCUAUUCUGAUUUGUGUCUUGACUGAUCAUUUAUAAUUUAAGUUUCUAAAUUAUCAGGAUUAUCACUGGACACUCAAUAUCUAUAGCUUCUAUUAUUUCUCCUCCUAGACUAUAAAUUUUAGAAUAUUUGACAUCUUUUCUCAUAGUACCCUUACACCUCUUCUGUUUCUUAGGUAUGUACUCCCCAAAGAUAUAUGUGAAUAGCCCAUGUGUUAGUUUUGAGCACUUAGGAUUUUAGGAGUAAGAAUUGUGACAUCUUGAGAUACAAAACAGGUGGUUGUAUUAUGCUCUUCAUUCGGUAGUUAUGGGGAAAAUACGCAAUAUAUUGCAACUGCAAUUAUUUUGUGCAUCUAUUUUCUUCUUUGACUUUCAAAUGUAUCGAAUUUUUCUAAUCAUACAUGUUUAAUAUCAAAACCUAUGUUACCCAGACCUAAUAUGAUGUUGUGGCCUAUAAAGAGUGUGAAAGGAGCCUUUGGGUUUAGGCCUCUAACUACGCUUUACUAGAGUAGAUAAAGAGGAAGUUAGCUAGAACCAGUGUGGCCUGGAACUGAUCACUAUUAUGGAAUGUAGAAUACCAGCUAGGUCAAGUAACUAAGCAAACCAACUACUACUAAAUUCUUGAAGAAAACCAAAUUUGGCUGCCUAGUGGCCCUAGUCUGAUUUGUAUCAGUGCUGAUCCGCGAUUCAGAUCAAUGAAUCAAGUUCAGAAUUGCGGAUAAGCAAAUUUGGCAACCCCUAGGAUUGUCCCGGGAUAUUAGUUACGUCAAUCUAGCUAGACAGCGAGCAGCCUCAUGACAGUCACCAAAGCAAAAAGAGAAAGACAAGGAAUCAAAAUUCCUUGGGGCUAAGGCACCUUCAAAAAUAAGUUGGUAGCUUAGUCGCCCCCAUGCCUACAUUGCUCUUUCAAGGCUUGAAUCACAAUCUGUGUAUCACCCUCCACUUCUACCUUUCUCCAGUCCAUGAGUGAUCUUUAGCCAAAGUUUCACCCAACUCAGGUCCAAUUACGAUAAACAAAUUUGUUACCUGAUUUUACAGUAUAGUUCAAUAGGAAUUAUUUAUUUUUAUACUGGGAACUGAGAACAUAUAUCUUUGAACUCUUUAUAGUUUGUAAAAAAAUAAGGUCACUGAUAAGCUCAUAGAAAUGUUUUCACUGUGGAAAUGUUGGUACCAGCUUUCAGAAAUUGGGUAGUUCAUCAAUUUGAUCUAUGCAUUUCCAGUUUUCCAGAACCCCAAUAUUAGCAUUUUAAAUUGGUGAAAAUUUAGUUUCAGAUAUUGCUGGUUUUUAAUUGCUUAAUACGGAAUAUUAGUUUCUGUACCUAAAGCUAACCAAAACAAUAUGCAACUUUGUUCAAGCAGUUACAUGUUUCAAAAUAUAUAAGCUUUAGCUGGCUGCCUGACAGUAUUAGUCUAAAUGGCAAAACUUUACCUGCCUCUUUUUUUUUUUUUUUUUUUUUGUUGGUGUGUGUGUGCUGAAUUGUGCUAGUUGAUACCUUUCAUUACCAUGUACAGAUAUUAGGUUCUUGGCUAAAAUUACAGCAUAUUCAAUGUGCCAGAGUGCCAGACAGAGCUUGAAUUUUUAAUUCCCGUGCUUGUAAAAGGUUUGUCUUGUUCAUAAUUUUAAUUGAACUUAAAAUGUUUACUACUACUAUUUCACAUGCACCAACACAAGGGCACAAUGAAUAGGAUUCUCAUUCAUGCUUAAACAGGCAAAUUUUUAUUGUAUGCUAAAAUUACCUUUGUCGUGUUUGUUUUUCACAAAAGAUGGCUUGUGAGAUGCCACGUUUGUUUUUCACGAAAGAUGGCUUGUGAGAGAAACCUAACUAAUGGCUGGGCCACUAGCUCUCCACUGUCAGGCUGUGAUUCAAGUUUUGACCAUUUGAACAUUAAAUUGUCUUUGGUUUCCAUACGUGUAAAGAUAUGCAUCUCAUCCGUUUUCUAUCCCAUUGCUCUGAUAAAAUCCUUAAAUUCUAUAACUAUUGCUCAUAAUCCUGGGAAAAUGUAGCAAAUAGUGAAGGAAAUUGCAUGUGUUUUCUGUUGUGCAAGAUGUCUUUUUGCAGCAUUUGGUAUAUUCAUUUCGUGCGUAAUAUCUUGACUAGCACUAAUGCUUGCAAUCAGAAAUUGGCAUUUGAUUAUGGUUGCAUACGAAAUAUGGGCCUUCAGCAACUGGUAUCUUUAGGCCCACCCUCUAAUGUUUCCUAGCUGCUGGAUGCUAUAAAUUGAAGCUCCCACUAUAAUAUUCAGUGUUCUGUAGUGUACAUACUGCAUUUUACAUGUUUGUAUACAAUUUAUUGCUUAGUGAGAUUACUGAGAUACACUUUACAUGUUUGUAUAGUAAUAAUUACUUUGUAAUCUAAUAAGUUCUGGUAUUGGGAUUGGGUUAUGAUUAGGAGUUAUUCAUUGGAAUAUUGACUGAAUUGGACUGUUAGUUGGGACUGGUAGAUGAUCUUUGCCUACUUGAUCUUUAUUAAUUAUGAGCAUCAUGAAAACUAAAAGCAUCAUCACUGCUGUGGAAACUCAUAUUCCCACAAUGGAAAGAUGAGAUAAAAAUUUGAAUUUGGCAAAAGAUCGAAGGGCGUUUCGUGUCCGAAACUAUUACUUGUUUUGCUACACUUUCUGCGGAACACGGAAUUUGCACUUUGAGCUUAAUCUUAAUAGAUGUUGAUUGUGAUAAAAAUUGUCACCUUAAUUAGCUUACUUUACCGUAGUACAAGCAUCAAUACUUUCUUAAACCAUUGUUUCUUUCACUGUCUUACGUUUUCUAUUUUUCUGGUGUCAUGCUCUCAACGUUUAUGUUUACAUUCACCCUUUCUGAAUUACAUUAACAUAACAACUUUUUUCCUUUCUUUGUCUCUGUUGCUCUUUGCUCACAAGUAUUGUGUAAUUUGUGUUGAUGUUUGAUUGGUAUCGUUGCAUAUGCAAACUUGAUGAGUAUAUUCGGAGUUAAAGUAAUUGUGUAGGUGAAUAAGUGUAAUUUUGUUCAGAUGAGAUCUCUUUUAGGUACCUGUUGUGCUGCAUAUACUUGACCUAAGGCUUCUUAUAUAUCAAUAUUUCCUUAGUAUCCUUACCUGUCUUUAGCAAAUAUUCAUAUUGCUUUUUCACCAUGUUGAUAGAUACCACCUUUUGAAACCUUAUAUAAUUCUUGUUAGGUUGGGGACUAUAUCAAACUUAUAGGUUUUUAUGCUAUUAGUGUCAAGAGAAAGGGACUAAAAAUGUUCGAGUUUAUAUAAUUGGCUGUGGAAGGUAAGUGGUGGGUUUGUGUUUUCCUUCCUAAUCAUUUUAACAUUAGGAUAUGUUUUCUUGAUUGGGAAAGGAAAAUUUAUACGUCUAUUUCCGUUCCUUUCCCUCUCUCCAUAUCUGUUUACACACUGUUAGUCUAGGAUUAUGGAGAAUACCACGGAAAUUGUUCUGGCUGUGGCGAAUGGAUAUGCAAUGCCAUUAAUUAGUAUCAAUGUUAUUUAGACCUUAAUAACGUGUCGUAAUGAUCUAAUGGACGGAUGAAGUUUUGGUCCAGGACCAUCCAAUAAUUAUUCAAGGAAUAGGUUUUUUUGUGGCAGGGAGGAGGGUUGUUACUAUUAGUUUCAAUUAAUAUGAAGGGACAAAUAUAGGUUGAAGAAUUUAUUUCCUUUGAAACUUGAGCUAUUGUGGCCUGUGAUUGCAUUCAUGAAUGAGUGACAUAUAUAUGCAAGGACAAUCAUCAAAGCCAUUGUUCCUAUAAGCCCUUUUUCUUUUGUUAAAUUGUGGUCACAUUGUUUGUCUUUUAUUUGCAGGGUCCCUAAAUAUCUCUUGCACAUUCAUAAUCAUCAUUUUUAUCAUCUAAAGGCAUAUAAUUAAGUUUGGUACGUGGGUAGUUUUUCAUCUGCUUGUCCAAAACAACCAUCAUAUCUUAUUUUCAAGACAUCAACUAAUGACUGUUUGUUGAACCUCAAUAACAAAGUUAGAUUGUUUCUUGAAAGGAAAAGGAACUUAGGAAAUUUAUUAAAUAUAUGAUCUUGCCAGUAUCUUCAUUAACUGCUUAUAAGAAUUACCGUCACGGCACUCAUAAUUAGUCCCAAUUAUUGUCAUUAAUUUUUUUUUGCUGGCUUCACUUAUUGUCAAAACUGUGAGAUCACCCCAUUAAUCUCAAGCACAGUUGCAAACAUGAUAAUGGUCAUGUAACCACUUUUGCAGGUAAUGUUGCUGCGUUUGGGGAUGUCAUAGUGUCAUACAUAGUCGCGGUAAGAUCGAAAACCUUGAUUAUAUCCAUGUAACCACUUUCCCAGGCAAUGUUGCUAGGUUUGGGGCUGUCGUACACAGCCGCGCUAAGAUAAAAAACCUUUACAAUAAGACGGCAGUCGGUUGAUGCCUGUUGCCAUAUUAAUAAUGCUUAUUAGUUAUUACAAAUUGAUAUCUUGAGCAUAUGCUAAUUGACCUUUUGUAAUGUUUGGUACAUUAUGUUUCAAAUUUGUUAGGUUUAUCAUUAUGAGGAAGACUAAGGAGGAAGAUGGUGAAAGGCUGAAAGCAAACAGAGACAGUUGGAAAGGAAGAGAGAGAAAGAAAUAAGAAUGUGCACCAACUUCUUUUUCCAUUAGAUUAACAUAAAUCAUAUAUGGCGGUGGUUACACUGAUCAUAUUUUUGUACUUUGAUAAUUACAAUAGUUUUUGUAUUAAAUCAGAUAUUGAUGAUUUAAUGUGAUGGAGCUUUCGUUAGUUUAUGUAAUGUACUACUGAGUUCUGUGUACAAUAAAUAUUGAAGGCGUGGGUCAUACUCAUUUGUCUGCCUCUUUUUUAGUUUUUCUACAUUUCAUAAAUAAAUUUACAACCACCUAUUAUUAUUUCUCAUUC